rnacentral:rRNA from 1 species
GACGAACGCUGGCGGCGUGCUUAACACAUGCAAGUCGAACGGAAAGGCCCUGCUUUUGUGCGGUGCUCGAGUGCCGAACGCGUGAGUGUCACGUGUGUAACCUGCCCUUGUCUUUGGGGUAACUUCAGGAAACUGGAGUUAAUAUAGGACAGGAGAUCCUGCUGCAUGGUGGGGGUUGGAAAAUCUCGGCGGUUGGGGAUGGACUCGCGGCUUAUCAGCUUGUUGGUGGGGUAGUGGCUUACCAACGCAUUGACGGGUAGCCGGCCUGGGAGGGUGACCGGGCACAAUGGGCCUGAGAGACGGCCCAGACUGCUACGGGAGGCAGCAGGGGGGAACAUGGCACAAUGGGCGGAAGUCGUAUGCAGCGACGUCGGGUGCGGGAUGACGGUCUUCGGGUUGUAAACCGCUUUAGCCUGUGACGAAGCGUGAGUGACGGUAAUGGGUAAAGAAGCACCGGCUAACUACGUG